rnacentral:lncRNA from 1 species
AUGGCUAUGAACUCUUAUUUAUCCUCUGUCACUUAUUAUUCAUAUUCAUAUAUUUAUCUUAUGUGACACUUAACCUACAUGAGAGAUAGAUAAAGACAUGGUUAAGGUCUCCAUGAUGAGAUGCAGUGGUCAUUGCUCAUUAUCCAUUGCAAGUCCCUUCCUAGUGGUAAAAUUAUAAAUAACGAUACCUAGUAUACUCCUAGUUAAAAUGCUACAUCGGUAUUAUCUGUGCGCUUGUGGAUCCUUUAUUUAUUUAUUUAUUUAUUUAUUUAUUUAUUUAUUUAUUUAUUUAUUACUAGAAAAGCAUAUAGAUUUAAUACCAGCACUUCUACAUCAUGUUAGGGAUGACAACCUAGCUUAAGUGAUAUUAAGUAAUUUUGACGCCGUUGCUUGGGAUAGGUUUAAGAGUCUAUUUUUAGUAGUUGCAUUAAGAAGUGUCAACAAGCAUUUUUGGCGCCAAUGCCGAGGAAGGUUAAAGCAAUAAAGGAUAAUGAGCAUCACUAUAUCAACUCAUGGAUUGAGCACCAUCCACCCUUCUCACUCAUGUAGCUUUACUUUGUUUUUUUCUAUUUUUAUUAUAUGCAGGGUAAUGUAUGAAUAGGUUUGAUCUCCCAGAUAACUUUAUUGAUAAUCCAGAGACAUUGACCAGGAAGACAAAGGCUAGGUUGAGAAGGAAUCAAUCAACAUUAUCAACAUCUCAGCUUGCCAAUCCUGCUGGGUCAGAAGAUCAACCUACUCAAAGUUUGACACCAGAGAUUGACGUAAUGGCUCACAAGUCACUUCAAGAGUUCUCAGCUCCCACUGUGGCCAACAUCCAUACUGGGCCAGCUGUGGAUAUUAAUUGGUCAUUUGAGCUCAAGCUGGUGCUGAUCAACAUGGUGCAAGCAAGCCACUUGUUGGCAGUCAUUAUAGACCAAUUAUAAACUCCCAACUUGAUCCAAAAGGAGAAGAAGGAAUCAUAUUAUAUACACACAUGCAUUUUAUUACUAACAAGAUCCACUUGUACCAUAGUGAUUAUAUUUUGCAGGAAUUAUAGUGCAACAAGUGGAAAUGUGCCAUACCACGAAGAAAGUGCAAAGUACCAAAAGACAUAUUCAGAAAUGCGCAAACCAAGAAAAUAGAGAAAGGCCCGAACAACGCAGAACUGGGCCUGAUCGUAACCACGGGAG